rnacentral:rRNA from 1 species
UGAGCAAUCUGCCCUUCUCUUCGGAAUAAGCGUUGGAAACGACGUCUAAUGCCGAAUACGACCUCCUUUCGCAUGAUCGGAGGUGGAAAGCUCCGGCGGAGAAGGAUGAGCUCGCGGCCUAUCAGCUAGUUGGUGUGGGUAAUGGCCCACCAAGGCGACGACGGGUAGCCGGCCUGAGAGGGUGACCGGCCACACUGGGACUGAGACACGGCCCAGACUCCGUACGGGAGNAG